AAACAUGUAGCUCAACUGGCAAGAGCUUGAGACUCACAUCUCAAGGCUCCGGGUUCGAGUCCCGGCGUGUAAG